GAAUGACUCUCGGCAACGGAUAUCUCGGCUCUUGCAUCGAUGAAGAACGUAGCGAAAUGCGAUACUUGGUGUGAAUUGCAGAAUCCCGUGAACCAUCGAGUCUUUGAACGCAAGUUGCGCCCGAUGCCACUAGGUUGAGGGCACGUCUGCCUGGGCGUCACAC
rnacentral:rRNA from 1 species